GUAGCUCAGUGGGUAGAGCAUCAGGAAAUGACCUGACGGUCACGGGUUCGACUCCCGUC
rnacentral:tRNA from 1 species